rnacentral:rRNA from 1 species
UACGAAGGGGGCUAGCGUUGUUCGGAUUUACUGGGCGUAAAGCGCGCGUAGGCGGAUCGUUAAGUCGGGGGGUGAAAUCCUGGAGCUCAACUCCAGAACUGCCUUCGAUACUGCGGGUCUCGAGUCCGGGGAGAGGUGAGUGGAAUUCCUAGUGUAGAGGUGAAAUUCGUAGAUAUUUAGGAAGAACACCAGUGGCGAAGGCGGCUCACUGGCCCGGUACUGACGCUGAGGCGCGAAAGCGUGGGGAGCAAACAGG